rnacentral:rRNA from 1 species
GAUGAACGCUGGCGGCGUGCCUAAUACAUGCAAGUCGAGCGAAGCGGGGACGGGUGAGUAACACGUGGAUAACCUCCUAUAAGACUGGGAUAACUUCGGGAAACCGGAGCUAAACCGGAAACUUAUAGAUGGAUCCGGGCUGCAUUAGCUAGUUGGUAAGGUAACGGCUUACCAAGGCAACGAUGCAUAGCCGACCUGAGAGGAUGACCGGCCACACUGGAACUGAGACACGGUCCAGACUCCUACGGGAGGCAGCAGUAGGGAAUCUUCCGCAAUGGGCGAAAGGCUGAUGGAGCAACGCCGCGUGAGUGAUGAAGGUCUUCGGAUUGUAAAACUCUGUUAGUAGGGAGGCGUUACCUGAUCAAGAAGCCACGGCUAACUCCGUGCCAGCAGCCGCGGUAAUAC